rnacentral:rRNA from 1 species
CAGUCGCCACGGGAAUACGAAGGGGGCUAGCGUUGUUCGGAAUCACUGGGCGUAAAGCGCACGUAGGCGGACUUUUAAGUCAGGGGUGAAAUCCCAAGGCCCAACCUUGGAACUGCCUUUGAUACUGGAAGUCUUGAGUUCGGGAGAGGUGAGUGGAACUGCGAGUGUAGAGGUGAAAUUCGUAGAUAUUCGCAAGAACACCAGUGGCGAAGGCGGCUCACUGGCCUGAUACUGACGCUGAGGUGCGAAAGCGUGGGGAGCAAACAGGAUUAGAUACCCGGGUAGUCCCUGUCUCUUAUAA